GCCUCACUUUGUGCUCAAACCCACAAGGAACAACACAGUCUGGCCUAAUUAAGCAAAGAACUUAAUGAAGUGUUUAAACAUGUAAGUAAACCCACUGGUUGAACGCUGUGUUGCUUGGCUUAGCAUGCUUGGCUCCUUGCAGGAAUGGACCUUAGCACAGGCACUGGGGGUAAUGUACCUCCAGGAGGGAACUGGGGCUCUGCUGGGUGCACAGGGUGCUUGGCAUGCUGGGACUUCCUUGGCUUUCAUCCAGCUCAUGGAGAUAGCACAGUGGCUGAGGGAUCCUGGGACAGAGUUUGCCUCUCCCAACGUGCAGAGCUCUCCCAGGCUAGGGGCGAGAUAACUUCAGAGUUGCUGUGAGAAUGAAAUCCUGGCAGACAUGCA
ensembl:lncRNA